rnacentral:rRNA from 1 species
GACGUAGGGUGCGAGCGUUGUCCGGAUUUAUUGGGCGUAAAGAGCUCGUAGGCGGCUUGUCGCGUCGACCGUGAAAACUUGGGGCUCAACCCCAAGCCUGCGGUCGAUACGGGCAGGCUAGAGUUCGGUAGGGGAGACUGGAAUUCCUGGUGUAGCAGUGAAAUGCGCAGAUAUCAGGAGGAACACCGGUGGCGAAGGCGGGUCUCUGGGCCGAUACUGACGCUGAGGAGCGAAAGCGUGGGGAGCGAACAGG